AAUGGGCGCAAGCCUGAUCCAGCCAUGCCGCGUGAGUGAUGAAGGCCCUAGGGUCGUAAAGCUCUUUCGCCAGAGAUGAUAAUGACAGUAUCUGGUAAAGAAACCCCGGCUAACUCCGUGCCAGCAGCCGCGGUAAUACGGAGGGGGUUAGCGUUGUUCGGAAUUACUGGGCGUAAAGCGCACGUAGGCGGAUCAGAAAGUAUAGGGUGAAAUCCCAGGGCUCAACCCUGGAACUGCCUUAUAAACUCCUGGUCUUGAGUUCGAGAGAGGUGAGUGGGAUUCCGAGUGUAGAGGUGAAAUUCGUAGAUAUUCGGAGGAACACCAGUGGCGAAGGCGGCUCACUGGCUCGAUACUGACGCUGAGGUGCGAAAGUGUGGGGAGCAAACAGGAUU
rnacentral:rRNA from 1 species